rnacentral:rRNA from 1 species
GUGAGUAAUGCUUAGGAAUCUGCCUAUUAGUGGGGGACAACAUUCCGAAAGGAAUGCUAAUACCGCAUACGUCCUACGGGAGAAAGCAGGGGAUCUUCGGACCUUGCGCUAAUAGAUGAGCCUAAGUCGGAUUAGCUAGUUGGUGGGGUAAAGGCCUACCAAGGCGACGAUCUGUAGCGGGUCUGAGAGGAUGAUCCGCCACACUGGGACUGAGACACGGCCCAGACUCCUACGGGAGGCAGCAGUGGGGAAUAUUGGACAAUGGGGGGAACCCUGAUCCAGCCAUGCCGCGUGUGUGAAGAAGGCCUUAUGGUUGUAAAGCACUUUAAGCGAGGAGGAGGCUACUGAGACUAAUACUCUUGGAUAGUGGACGUUACUCGCAGAAUAAGCACCGGCUAACUCUGUGCCAGCAGCCGCGGUAAUACAGAGGGUGCGAGCGUUAAUCGGAUUUACUGGGCGUAAAGCGUGCGUAGGCGGCUUUUUAAGUCGGAUGUGAAAUCCCCGAGCUUAACUUGGGAAUUGCAUUCGAUACUGGGAAGCUAGAGUAUGGGAGAGGAUGGUAGAAUUCCAGGUGUAGCGGUGAAAUGCGUAGAGAUCUGGAGGAAUACCGAUGGCGAAGGCAGCCAUCUGGCCUAAUACUGACGCUGAGGUACGAAAGCAUGGGGAGCAAACAGGAUUAGAUACCCUGGUAGUCCAUGCCGUAAACGAUGUCUACUAGCCGUUGGGGCCUUUGAGGCUUUAGUGGCGCAGCUAACGCGAUAAGUAGACCGCCUGGGGAGUACGGUCGCAAGACUAAAACUCAAAUGAAUUGACGGGGGCCCGCACAAGCGGUGGAGCAUGUGGUUUAAUUCGAUGCAACGCGAAGAACCUUACCUGGCCUUGACAUACUAGAAACUUUCCAGAGAUGGAUUGGUGCCUUCGGGAAUCUAGAUACAGGUGCUGCAUGGCUGUCGUCAGCUCGUGUCGGGAGAUGUUGGGUUAAGUCCCGCAACGAGCGCAACCCUUUUCCUUACUUGCCAGCAUUUCGGAAGGGAACUUUAAGGAUACUGC